AGAGUUUGAUCCUGGCUCAGGAUGAACGCUAGCGGCAGGCUUAACACAUGCAAGUCGAGGGGCAUCGCGAGUAGCAAUACUUGGCGGCGACCGGCGCAAGGGUGCGUAACGCGUGAGCAACAUGCCCGUAUCAGGGGGAUAAUCCAGGGAAACUUGGUCUAAUACCCCAUAGUAAUUUUGUAAGGCAUCUUAUAGGAUUUAAAGCUUAGGUGGAUACGGAUUGGCUCGCGUGACAUUAGCUGGAUGGUAAGGUAACGGCUUACCAUGGCUAUGAUGUCUAGGGGUUCUGAGAGGAAGGUCCCCCACACUGGAACUGAGACACGGUCCAGACUCCUACGGGAGGCAGCAGUGAGGAAUAUUGGACAAUGGAUGGAAAUCUGAUCCAGCCAUGCCGCGUGAAGGAAGAAGGUCCUAUGGAUUGUAAACUUCUUUUGUAUGGGAGCAAUAAGGCCUACGAGUAGGUUGAUGAGAGUACCAUACGAAUAAGCACCGGCUAACUCCGUGCCAGCAGCCGCGGUAAUACGGAGGGUGCAAGCGUUAUCCGGAUUUAUUGGGUUUAAAGGGUGCGUAGGCGGUUAUUUAAGUCAGUGGUGAAAGUUUUCGGCUCAACCGGAAAAUAGCCAUUGAUACUGGGUAGCUAGAAUAUGGUUGCUGUGAGUAGAAUGUGUGGUGUAGCGGUGAAAUGCAUAGAUAUCACACAGAAUACCGAUUGCGAAGGCAUCUCACAAAGCCAUCAUUGACGCUGAGGCACGAAAGUGUGGGGAUCAAACAGGAUUAGAUACCCUGGUAGUCCACACUGUAAACGAUGAUAACUAGCUGUUGGCGAUACACAGUCAGUGGCCAAGCGAAAGCGAUAAGUUAUCCACCUGGGGAGUACGACCGCAAGGUUGAAACUCAAAGGAAUUGACGG
rnacentral:rRNA from 1 species